rnacentral:pre_miRNA from 1 species
GGGGGGAGGCCGGAUCCUGGGCUGUGUCCCUGCGCCCUGUGCUCCCGGCCUGCGCUGUUGGAUUUGCGCUCUGGCCCUGCAGCCCCCU